GAUGAACGCUGGCGGCGUGCCUAACACAUGCAAGUCGAGCGAUUCUCUUCGGAGAAGAGCGGCGGACGGGUGAGUAACGCGUGGGUAACCUGCCCUGUACACACGGAUAACAUACCGAAAGGUAUGCUAAUACGAGAUAAUAUGCUUUUAUCGCAUGGUAGAAGCAUCAAAGCUUUUGCGGUACAGGAUGGACCCGCGUCUGAUUAGCUAGUUGGUAAGGUAACGGCUUACCAAGGCGACGAUCAGUAGCCGACCUGAGAGGGUGAUCGGCCACAUUGGAACUGAGACACGGUCCAAACUCCUACGGGAGGCAGCAGUGGGGAAUAUUGCACAAUGGGCGAAAGCCUGAUGCAGCAACGCCGCGUGAGCGAUGAAGGCCUUCGGGUCGUAAAGCUCUGUCCUCAAGGAAGAUAAUGACGGUACUUGAGGAGGAAGUCCCGGCUAACUACGUGCCAGCAGCCGCGGUAA
rnacentral:rRNA from 1 species